UUUAAUUUUGCAUUGAUGGGAAAUUUGCCGCCAUCAUUUUUGACCCCUUUCCCUUCUGAUUAAACCUAGCCCUCCAAAUUUCUCUCUGUGCAAAAAGCAGCAGCAAAGAUCCAAAGGAAUACCGCCGGACCAGCAUUGCCUGAUCUUGGCAGGAAAGCAAUUGGAAGAUGGAAGAUGGUGGACCCUAGCCGAUUACAACUUCCGGACGGAACCCACCCUCAGUCUGGCUCUCUGGCCUACACGCCCUAGAAGAUCAAGCAUGAGAAGAAGAAGAAGAAGAAGAAAAAGUGGGUUGGCAGGUGGUCACUUGGUGCUAUUAUGUAUGAAAUGCUUGUGGGUUACCCACCUUUCUACUCUGAUGAUCCAAUGUCGACCUGUAGGAACAUAGUGAAUUGGAGAACUCACUUGAAGUUUCCUGAAAAAGCAAACCUAUCUUCAGAGGCAAAAUAUCUUAUUACAAGACUCUUAUGUAAUGUCAACCAGAGGCUGGGAUCAAAAGGCGCAGAUGAAAUAAAGGUGUUGUAUGGAACAUGGUUGGUUUGAAGGUAUUGAGUGGGACAAGCUCUAUCUGAUGGAAGCUGCAUUUAUACCUGAGGUCAAUGACGAAUUGGAUACUCAAAAUUUUGAAAAGUUUGAAGAGGUAUGGAUGUCCUUCAUUUCUUGUUAGCUCUGUUAAACUAUCAGUGUUGAGGGAAUUCAUUUUUGCUUAUAUUUGGGCUUACAGUCUGACAGUCAAACUCACACUUCGUCUAAAAGCGGUCCUUGGAGAAAGUAUGAUCUGCAUUUUGUGCAUCUUGCUUUAUAGUGUGUAUAUCAGCAAAGGCAUCCCAAGAGAUUGCAUCAGCAAAUGCCGAACUCAGAGCUGCCAGUUCAAAUGCAAAGACUGAACACUUCCAACAGCAGCCAGAAGCUUAGAAACCAUCAUAUGCUUCUCAACUGCUCAUGCUAAAUUGAAACUGAGAGGAGAGGUAAAAAUCUCUUCGCUUUGAUACAUAUAUAAAUUAUGAUUAUAUAAGAUCAUGGUUGUGCCUUUUCCACCUGCUUAGCAUUUCAUUUGUAAUCAUGAUGGCACAUAUUUUCUGCUGGAUGUUUAAUUUUCCUGUAUAGGUUUCAAAAUCUGAUGUUAGGCUGCUAUGAAAGUUCUAAACUUUGCAAUAUAUCAUGAACCUACUGAGAUGGAAUAGCACAAGCAAGAGAGAGAGAGAGAGAGAGAGAGCAAUUGCAAAACAGAAAGUCAUCCAAGUGAAAAUCGUAGAUAUGAAAGUGGUACAGCUGGUCAAGAAGAGUAAGCAAUAUAUAUUAUUAGGUACUGCCUAUACGUAUUGCUGGACAUUGCUAUGGUGGUAACUAUGUUUAUGUUGCCCAUCAUACUUUUAAUCAUUGUGUGUCACUGUUUCUUUAUCUUGCAAAGUCUUUCCUACAAUUUUCUUAAGCAAACUAGCACCCCAACAUAGUGACUUUUAUUCUCCUAAUUCUUUCAAGAUUGAAUAGAGAACUUGUCUUCAUACGAACUGAUUAAUUGUUUGUAAGGACUUGUCUGAUGAAGUGAUGCACAUGCUUCAGCUGCCAUUACUAUGCU